AGUAAACGCUGGCGGUAGGCCUAACACAUGCAAGUCGAACGGCAGCACAGUAAGAGCUUGCUCUUACGGGUGGCGAGUGGCGGACGGGUGAGGAAUACAUCAGAAUCUACUUUUUCGUGGGGGAUAACGUAGGGAAACUUACGCUAAUACCGCAUACGACCUACGGGUGAAAGCAGGGGAUCUUCGGACCUUGCGCGAUUGAAUGAGCCGAUGUCGGAUUAGCUAGUUGGCGGGGUAAAGGCCCACCAAGGCGACGAUCCGUAGCUGGUCUGAGAGGAUGAUCAGCCACACUGGAACUGAGACACGGUCCAGACUCCUACGGGAGGCAGCAGUGGGGAAUAUUGGACAAUGGGCGCAAGCCUGACCCAGCCAUACCGCGUGGGUGAAGAAGGCCUUCGGGUUGUAAAGCCCUUUUGUUGGGAAAGAAAAGCAGCAGGUUAAUACCCCGCUGUUCUGACGGUACCCAAAGAAUAAGCACCGGUUAACUUCGUG
rnacentral:rRNA from 1 species